rnacentral:rRNA from 1 species
GCUUGUGGCCAUACCACCCUGAAUAUGCCUGAUCCCAGUAGCUAAGCAGGGUCAGGCCUGGUUAGUGCCUGGAUGGGAGACCACCUGGGAAUAUGAAACUUUUAUAUCCU